GACAGAGGGGGCAAGCGUUGCUCGGAAUUACUGGGCGUAAAGGGCGCGUAGGCGGGAUGGCAAGUCGGUCGUGAAAUCCUUCGGCUCAACCGAAGAACGUCGAUCGAUACUGCUGUUCUUGAGGGUUGCAGAAGAGACUGGAAUUCCCGGUGUAGCGGUGAAAUGUGUAGAGAUCGGGAGGAACACCGGUGGCGAAGGCGGGUCUCUGGGCAAUUCCUGACGCUGAGGCGCGAAAGCGUGGGGAGCAAACGGG
rnacentral:rRNA from 1 species